AUGAGGGCAAAUGCCCGGGAGGUCGAAGUACUCCUGAAAGGCGUAAUCAUGAAAAGGGAGAGGGCGAUGAUGGAUGGCCAUGCCGACAACGACGAUCUACUAGGCGUGAUGAUGGAGUCCAACAUAGAAGAAAGCCAUGAAGCCGAAAGCUCCAAGCCCAAGAUGACCGCCGCCGACAUAGUAGGGGAGCUGAAGCUCUUCUAUUUCACGGGCAUGGAGACUACCGCGGUGCUGCUCACAUGGACAAUGGUCGUGCUACGCAUGCACCCGGAGUGGCAGGACCGCGCCAGGGAGGAGGUUUUGCACGUCUUUGGAAAGAACCAGACGGAUUUUAGGGGCAUAAACCGGCUUAAAGUUGUGACAAUGAUGCUACAUGAGGUUCUUAGGCUAUACCCACCGAUUCUACUACUUGGUCGGGAGGCGUAUAAAGAGACAGAGCUGGGAGGCGUCACAUAUCCAGCCGGCGUUACAUUUGCACUGCCAAUUGUGUGCAUUCACCAUGAUCCAGAUGUGUGGGGAGAAGACGUCGAUGAAUUUAAGCCGGAGAGGUUUGCGGAGGGCAUUGCCGGCGCAUCCAAGAACUUGCUGGCGUUCUUUCCGUUUGGCUGGGGACCGCGGAUUUGCGUCGGGCAGAACUCUGCAUUGCUUGAGGCCAAGAUGGGAUUGAGCGUGAUCCUGCAACGCUUCAUGUUCGAGCUCUCACCAUCCUACACGCAUUCGCCUUGCCCGGUCUCCACUCUACAACCCCAGCACGGUUCGCAGAUUAGGCUCACGAAACUCUAUGAAUUAGCAGCCUUUACCAAUUAG
rnacentral:rRNA from 1 species